rnacentral:rRNA from 1 species
CCUACGGGCGGCAGCAGUGGGGAAUAUUGGGCAAUGGAGGCAACUCUGACCCAGCAACGCCGCGUGAAUGAUGAAGGUCUUCGGAUUGUAAAGUUCUGUGAUGGGGGAUGAACACAAUGACGGUACCCCAAUAGCAAGCCACGGCUAACUACGUGCCAGCAGCCGCGGUAAUACGUAGGUGGCAAGCGUUAUCCGGAAUGACUGGGCGGAAAGGGGGCGUAGGUGGUUUAGUAAGUUGGCGGUGUAAUUCCGGGCUUCAACCUCGGCGCUACCGCCAAAACUAUUAGACUACCGUGCAGGAGGGGUAAGUUGAAUUCCUAGUGUAGCGGUGGAAUGUGUAGAUAUUAGGAGGAACAUCAGGGGCGAAGGCGACUUACUGGACUGUAACUGACACUGAGGCACGAAAGCGUGGGGAGCAAACAGGAUUAGAUACCCGGGUAGUC